GAUGAACGCUGGCGGCGUGCCUAAUACAUGCAAGUCGAGCGAACAGACGAGGAGCUUGCUCCUCUGACGUUAGCGGCGGACGGGUGAGUAACACGUGGAUAACCUACCUAUAAGACUGGGAUAACUUCGGGAAACCGGAGCUAAUACCGGAUAAUAUAUUGAACCGCAUGGUUCAAUAGUGAAAGACGGUUUUGCUGUCACUUAUAGAUGGAUCCGCGCCGCAUUAGCUAGUUGGUAAGGUAACGGCUUACCAAGGCAACGAUGCGUAGCCGACCUGAGAGGGUAUACGGCCCCCCGGGACCGAGACCCGGGCCCGGCGCCCAAGGGAGGGAGCAGGGGGGAAUUUUUCCGCAAGGGGGGAAACCCGGGCGAGGCAGCCCCGGUGGGGGAAGAAGGGUUUCGGGUUCGAAAAACCUUGUUUUGGGAAAAAAAAGAAGUGGGAAAAAACUUUGCCGUUCUUACGGGUCCCAAAGAAGAAGCCCAGGCCAAACUCGGG
rnacentral:rRNA from 1 species